GUCUCCCUCGGGCUGCUGCCGGUGCUGCGGGCGGAGGCGGCUCCGCCGCGUGUUGGGCGCUGCGAGCAGGGAGCGCUGCGGUAUCGCCGGCAUGACGGGGUUGCUGCCUGCGUUAGUGCUCGUGGCUCUUUGUGCCGUGACAGCGGAUGGAGCGGCGCUGAGCGGUAAAGCCAGAGAUGGCCGGGAGAAUGCCCAGCGCAGGGAGCGGGCGGGCUGUAUGCUUCGGAUGGCACAGGAUACUCAGAAAAUAUGUCUCCCUUAGAGUCCCACAGAAACGUUCUCAGUGCGAUCUCUAUCAAGUGCUAUGAGUCUUGAUCAAUUGGAGAAGAGCCCAAGAGAAAUUUUUCAUCCCUUGAUAUAAAAGGAAUCAGUGAAUUUUAACUUUGGAGUCCCCUAUGCUAAGGAUGCUCAGCUUACAGGUGAUGAAAUGUUCAGUAAUGUAUUUGCUGCAGCUCUGCUUACCCAAGCUUUGGGUUCCUUCUGUCCCACUGGGAGUUGCCCAAUUUGGUUGCAUCUGGUGAAAUUCACCCUGAGACCUUACAGAACCAGCUCCAACUACAUGAGAGCCAUUUGCAGUUCUCUCCAGACGCCUGGAGAAUGGGCGACGUUUCUGAGGAUCCGGCGAGCGUGCUUCUGUCAAAACUCAGUCUGUGAAAUUCCUGGGGAAAACCCUUCUGUGUCCUGAAGGGUUCAAACUCUGGUGAGGAUCCAGUUAUCAGGUGCUCACCUGGAUGGUUCCAGCUGCCAAAGGGAAAGACUCUCGUGUCCUUGUCGUCGGGCUCGGUGCUGUCCAAGAAGAUACGGGGACUAAAAAAAUCAUAAGAAGCAAAAUACGACUGCAGGGAAAAGAAGCUGGAGAGAACAGAAGAGCCCAGAACACGAUUUCCUCGGGCUGCCAUUUGUGUGCCAUCGGUACUCACCGUGGAAGGGAGCUGGGGAUUGUUGCAGCUGUUGGGAACGAACUGCUUCUCGUCACACAGAAAUGGAAUUGGGACGACGCCUCGGCCAGCCCCUCUGUGCCAUCGUCUCCUGAAUCUGCAGCAGAGCAGUUCCAGUCCAUCCGGGCACGUGUAAUCCAGUUCCUGAUGAUCUGAGCACACAGAGCAGCGCUCAGCUGCUGUGGGGGGCUCAGGGAGGGCAGAGUGUGCAUUGUCAUCUUCCUGAACCUACAGACAAAUCAAAGUGAGAAGCCACAGCGUGGAAAUCAGUCACAUAUAUGCUAAAUAAAACUUGCAGAUUUUUUUAAGAA